UCAACUUAAAAAAAUCUCAAAUAAAACGAAAAAUAUUGGUUUCAAUCCCAAACGCCUACGAAGUUUAACAUAUAUGUCCAUGUGCAAAUCCCGUGCAUUUGUCAAAAUACCUAAAGAACCUUCUGAAAUCAACCACCGUGAAAUAGAGAAACCAGUUAGUUUAGUUCAAUAAAACUAAUAGAGACUCCGAAAAUCCCAAUUGCAAUUAGUUAGUUUAGUUAAUACAUUUUGCAAUUGAAAUUUGGAAAUCAAUUAACAGAAGAGUGGAUGCUACACUAGAGUUACAUCAUCGUAGCAGUGAAAACAAGGAUUUAUGUCUAUCCAAAUAAGGAUGAAGAAGACUGGAUGCUGCAUCAGAGUUCCAUCGUUGUAGCAGUGAAAACGACCCUAAUAGACUCAAACCAGAAGGCUCUUAAAUAUAUGAGUUUUAAGUCUAUCAAAUAUAUUCUUUUGCUAGCUAGUCCAAAAAAUGUAUUAAGGUUAUUUUAUUUUGGUCCUCCAUAUAUUUUCCUUGAUAAAUAUAGUCUUCGAUAUAUGUCAAAUGGUGAUACCUUUGGUCCGAAGUGUAGAAUUUCAAGAAGAAGAGAAAGUAUUCUUUGUAUUUCUUGAUAAUUAACAUCUCAUGACAAUGGGUAUUUAUACAAUAAAUCCUAUAACUAAAUAAAGAAAGAGAAUAUUACACAAUCAUUACAUAAUCAAUCUAUAUCAAUUACUCCUAUAAUUAUGCUAGGAAAUCCAUAUCAAUCAACACUCCCCCUCAAGUUGGGGCAAAGAUGUCGCACAUGCCCAACUUGGGGGCAAAGAUGUCGCACAUGCCCAACUUGCAAACUAGCGUAUGGAAAGUCCGGUUGGUGAGGCCUUUGGUAAACACAUCAGUUAGCUGCUUUCCUGAUGACACAUGGAACAAACUCAAGACACCAUCCGUAACUUUUUCUUUGAUGAAGUGUCGAUCAAUUUCAACAUGCUUUGUUCGGUCAUGCUGAACUGGAUUAUGAGCUAUACUGAUUGCAGCUUCGUUGUCACAAUACAAGGAAAUCUUUCCCUUUUCAGACAAUCUCAAUUCCUCUAAUAGCUUUCGUAACCAUAAAAGUUCACAAACACCCUGAGCCAUAGCUCUAUAUUCUGCUUCCGCACUUGAUCUAGCAACAACACUUUGCUUCUUACUUCUCCAAGUGACUAGGUUUCCUCCUACGAGUGUACAGUAACCGGAUGUAGAUCUUCGGUCAUCUAGAGAUCCUGCCCAAUCCGCAUCUGUAAAGGCUUCUAUUUUGAGGUGACUAUGUCUGGAGAAAAGUAGACAUUUUCCUGGCGCAGACUUCAGAUACUACAAAAUGCGAAAGAUAGCUUCCAUAUGAGGAUCUAGAGGAUCAUGCAUGAACUGACUCACCAUGCCGACUGAAUAGGCUAUAUCUGGUCUAGUGUGAGAGAGAUAAAUGAGUUUUCCAACCAGCCUCUGAUAUCUCUCCUUAUCAGCUAACUUUCUAACUCCACUUUGUAGUUUGUGAUUGCUUUCCAUAGGUGAUAUUGCUGGCCUGCAACCUGUCAUACUAGUUUCUUUCAAGAGGUCCAGAAUAUACUUUCUUUGGGAAAUAAAGAUUCGUCUAUUUGAUCUAGCAACCUCGAUACCCAAGAAGUAUUGCAAUUUUCCAAGAUCCUUGAUCUCAAAUUCUUGAGCCAACAACUUCUUCAAUCGGGUCAUUUCCUCCUUGUCAUCUCCUGUCAUUACAAUGUCAUCAACAUAAACUAUGAGAAGAGUGAGUUUACCCUUUUGAUGUCUUAUGAAAAGAGUGUGAUCAACAUUGCUUUGUUGGUAACCGAAAAAGAUCAUUGCUUUACAGAAUCUGUCAAACCAAGCUCUGGGAGACUGCUUCAGUCCAUACAAGGCUUUCUUCAAUCUGCAUACCUUUCCUUGACUCUGUUUAUUACCAAAACCAGGAGGAAUCUCCAUAUACACUUCGUCUUCUAAGUCUCCAUGAAGAAAUGCAUUCUUCACAUCAAAUUGCUAUAAGUUCCAAUCAAGAUUAGUUGUACAAGACAAAAGAAUUCUAAUGGUGUUCAUUUUUGCAACAGGGGCAAAUGUCUCUUGAUAAUCCACUCCAUAGAGUAAAUCCCUUAGCCACCAAUCUCGCUUUGAAUAUUUCAAUUGAACCAUCAGCUUUAUGUUUCACAGUGAAGACCCAUUUACAACCAAUUGUCUGGAGGUGGUGUGACAAGUUUCAAGUCUCAUUCUUUGACAAGGCCUUCAUUUCUUCAAGCAUAGCUUGCUUCCAUUUGGAAUCUGCAAAAGCUUCCCUCCAAUUCUGGGGAAUAGACACAGAAUAAAUAGACAAGUCAAAAGCUCUAUAGGAGGGAGACAGAGAAUUAUAAGAGACAAAGUUAGAUAAGGGGUGUUUGGUGCAAGAUCUGACUCCUUUCCUGUGAGCAAUAGACAAAUCUAACUCAUUAGGAACUAUAGAUGACUCACCAGAUGAAGAAGGUUCAGCUUCGUCAGAUUGCAUGAUAGCUUCUUUUGCUCUAUUCCUCCUUGAGCAAGUUAUCAAAUCAGGCCUAUCCAAAUGACCAACAGUCUCCCCCUGAAUUCUUUUUCCAAUUUCAUUUUCUCUUGUUUCAAAAAAUGGAAUUAGAAAAAACCAUAUCUUCUUCCUUAUAAUUCAAAAUGGAAUUAAGAGAAACCAUCUCUUCUUCCUUAUAAUUCUCCUCAUGAAGAGGUGAUGGUGUAAUACUGAAAUAGGACUCAGAUUAUCGAAAGGUAACAUCCAUGCUGACGAAGGUUCUCCGGGAAGGAGGGUGAUAACAUUUAUACCUUUUCUGUGUUGGAGAAUACCCAAUAAAGACACACUUAAGAACUCUAGGAUCAAGUUUUUUGGAGUUCCUAGUGUGAACAAAGCAAACACAUCCAAAUAUCUUGGGAGGAACAGCAUAGUCAUUUCUACCCUUUAAAGCUUCCAAAGGACUCUGAAAGUUGAGAGUUUUAAGUGGCAUUCUAUUGAUGAGGUAGACAGCUACUAGAAUGGCAUCCCCCCAGUAAGGUUUCGGCAGAUUCAUGGUAAACAAAAGGGAUCUUGCUACUUCUAACAAAUGCCUAUUUUUCCUUUCAGCAAUCUCAUUUUGUGCACUAGUAUAAGGACAACUAGUUUGGUGGAUUAUCCCAAAAGACUCCAAAUAAGCUCCAAAAGUUUUUUUUCAUGUAUUCUAUACCAUUGUCAGUUCGAAAGAUCUUUAUCUUAACCGCAAAUUGAGUACAAAUCAUCUUAUGAAAUGACUGAAAACAUGCGAAAACUUCACUUUUGGCUUUCAACAGAUAGACCCAUGUUAUUCUAGUGCAACAAUCAAUAAAAGUAACAAACUAUCGACUCCCAAACAAAGAAGGUGUUUCAGUAGGGCCCCAUACAUCAGAAUGAAUGGUCAAAAAAGGAAUUUUGAUUUUAUUGUCACUCAGAGGAUUAGAGUUUUUAGUUUGCUUGGCAUAUUCACAAGCAUCACAAGCAUCACAAGACAAAGAUUCAAACUCAGUUCUGGAAAAUAAACUAGGAUCUAACCUUUUUAAAGCAAAAAAAGAAGGGUGUCCCAACCGUCUAUGCCACUGCGUUAUUUUCUGGUUGACAUCCUUAUUUGUUCCUAAAUAAACUGACCAGAAUCUCGAGCUCCAUUGAUCAAAUGUAAGGUAUCAUACAAUCUACCACUGCCAAUCUUCUUCCCUGUUUGAAAGUCCUUCAAAACAUAAUGAUCAAGAAAGAAUUUUACACUACAGUUUAGUACUUUUGUGAUAGCGCUAGCAGAUAAUAGAUUAACAGGAAAGUCAGGAACAUAAAGAAUGGAUGAUAAGGUAAUAUCAGGGAUACAAAGGAGUGAACCUGUUCCAGAGACAGGGGUUAGGGAGCCAUUGGCUAUUCGGACAUAAUCCCCUUUGGGACUAGGAGAGUGAUAACGUCCAAAUCCACCCUAUUAAUUAGAAUGGGCACGGUCGUAUGCAAAUAUAUUUUACCCAACUAUGAGUCGGGGUCGAAUCCCACAGAGAACAAUAUGUAGGCGAUUAGGAAAAGUAGGAAUUUUCACCAAUGAUAGCUAAAGCCAAACGAUGGAUAAUAUUUUGGUUUUGUUUGAGAGAAAAUUAUAACUAAUGCAAAAAUGUAAACUAACCUAGAAAGCAAGUAAAAUGAUCAAUGGCCACAAGCAUGGAUACAUGGAAAACUACGCUCAAGUAACGAUCCAAUGUAUUUCAUGAUUUACAAAUAAUGGUGAGUUUAUAUUACUUAGCCUCGGAUAAUGACUCUAAAUUAGCUUCUUCCGAAGACUAACUAGACUACCUAAUUGAAUAUCCCUAAAGCAAUUAGGAGCAUUAAGAACACCCGAAUAUGGCUACAAGUGGUGUCGCCUAUUCCUAGGUCGAUUUCCAUUAGAUGAGGGUUAACGCCCCAAAUUCUUGUUAAUUAAUCUUUCCCAAUCCCGAGUUUGCCUCUUCCAAGUUUAAACCGAAAUAAAUGGGCAAGUCUUAGGGUUAGCUACUCCCUUAAGAAUCAUUCAACAUGAGAUUAAUUAAAGAAACAAUAACUCACUUCAUUAGGAAUAAAAUCAUUCAACACAUAAGCAAAACAAGAGAUUCAAUCCAAACUUUAAUCAAGAAUACUUCCAUAAACGAGAUUCAAGUAUUGAAAUAAAUACUACACACAUAAAUAUUCAAUACAAAAUAAGAGUAGAAGAAAGGAUUAAGAAUAUCUCAUUAAAGUGCUUCCAAUCUUCUCCUCCAAUGUGUUGGUGUGAAACCCUAGCCUCCAAGGACUUGUGUUGAGCCAAAGAUGAUAUGGUUUUGCCCCCUAGUCUUCCUUUUAUGUUUCCCAAUUUUUCCAAGUCCAAAAAAUGACAAAAUAUGCCCCAGAUUUUCGUUUUUGCAGUUCUGCCCGUUUUUUGCGAAUCUGUCCCAUUUUUGCAAAACUGUCCAGUUUUGACAGUUUUGCAAAUCUGUCCAAUUUGACCUCUUUUUGACUUUAUUUUCACUUGGUUUCUUCCGAUCACUUAUAAAUCAUAUAAAACCUGUAAAAUAGAUGUAAAUGAUAUUAAAUGCACUAUUUUCUCAAGCAAACAUAGCAAAAAUAUAAGAUUAAAGAAGAGAUAAGUUGGUAAAAUACCAACUUAUCAGAGAGUAAUUUUGAAGGCCUUUAGAAGACUCUGUCAUGUGUCUAUUCGCACCAGAAUCAAUAAUCCAAGAAUUAAGCUGAGCAUUAAAGGCAAUACCUGACUGCACAUAAUUGAAACUAGCAGCACUUGAAGAGUCAAGUUUGUUCAAAAGACGACGAAGUUGUUCAACUUCAUCCGGAGACAAAGUCUCUCUAGAAACUUCGUCCAGAGACAAAAUCUCUCCAGAAGUAGUGUCUCUAAACGUCUCCACAUUUUCUCCAAUAUUAGACUGACCAGCACUGAUUUGUGAAAGAGAACUAUUAUCUGCUCCCUUUGUAUCUCUGAUAGUUUGAACAGUCAUAGAUCUAAAUAAUUAGAUGUGUUCUAAGAAAGAAAUACAUCACAAACAGAUGUCGUGGGUAAACACUGUCGAAAAAAGAAAAAAAAUCUGAACCUAAAAAGUCGCCGAAAAACACGCCGGAAAAAUCUGAAAUAGUGGCUGUAGGUGCAAAAUAUCGCCGGAAAAAUAAAACUGCAGGUCUCUAAAAAACAGUAGAUUUCGCUGGAAAAAAUGGCUGCCACGCCGGAACCUUAAUUUCCAGUGAUCGAAAAAAAUCAAAAACUGGCAGGGCCGACUCGGAAUGUUCCAGUAACUCCAAUGGAAGAAAAAAAAUUCUGAAAAACUGACCGGAAGGAGCUUGUGUUGCGGACAACCACCAAGAGAGAGAAAACUCAACCUCUUUGAGAACAAAUGAACCCUAGUGCUGCGAGGGAGAUAACUCACCUCUAAAAGGCAGCAAUGGUAUCAAUGGCUCUUGAUACCAUGUAGAAUUUCAAAAAGAAGAGAAAGUAUUCUUUGUAUUUCUUGAUGAUUAACAUCCCAUGACAAUGGGUAUUUAUACAAUAUAAGUCCUAUAGCUAAAUAAAGAAAGAGAAUAUUACACAAUCAUUACAUAAUCAAUCUAUAUCAAUUACUCCUAUAAUUAUGCUAGGAAAUCCAUAUCAAUCAAUACAAUCAAUACGAAGUCCUAAAUUCAACAAAAUUUUCAAAUGGAGUUAUAAGUAUUAACAUUUUUGGCGAGAAAACAAUCAAAUUGGUCUUAGUCCUUAAUUUUAUUCUUCUACCUUUGUCUGUUCCCUUUGCUCUUUGGUGCACUGAUUGAAAGCCCAAAAAAUAUACGUUGAACUCAAAUCUCACAAGUGAUUUACAAUCAUUGACACCGAAAGAAGGUUUUCGAGGUAAUUUGGUGGAGUAUCUUCCAAUAGAUAUCUUAAGGUCAGUCUUUUGUUCUUUCUUUCUACUUUUUGUGUUUUCUUCUAAAUUGUUACAAAAAUGGUGCUUGGAGGAGCUUGCAACAUCAUAAUGUGCAAAACUGAAUUAGAGCAGAUUGUGAUUCCAGUCUUCUAUGAUGUGAGUCCAUCAGAUGUACGCCAUCAAAAAACCCCUUUCGCUAAAUCAUUUUCCAAGCACGAGAAAAAGUACAAAGAUCACUUGGAGAAGGUUCAAAGAUAGAGGGAUGCAUUUGCAGAGGCAGGGAAAAUAUCAGGGGAUGAGCCAGAUUGCAUCAAGAUGCUAGUUGAUGACAUAUUUCCUGAGCCGCUUCAAGUUAUUUCAUGUUUCCCCGAAA